rnacentral:rRNA from 1 species
CGCUGGCGGCGUGCUUAACACAUGCAAGUCGAACGGUGAACCAGAGCUUGCUCUGGGGAUCAGUGGCGAACGGGUGAGUAACACGUGGGCAACCUGCCCCAGACUCUGGGAUAACCUCGGGAAACCGAUGCUAAUACCGGAUACGACCACUUCGGACAUCCGACGGUGGUGGAAAGUUUUUCGGUCUGGGAUGGGCCCGCGGCCUAUCAGCUAGUUGGUGGGGUAAUGGCCUACCAAGGCGACGACGGGUAGUCGGCCUGAGAGGGCGACCGGCCACACUGGAACUGAGACACGGUCCAGACUCCUACGGGAGGCAGCAGUGGGGAAUAUUGCACAAUGGGCGAAAGCCUGAUGCAGCGACGCCGCGUGAGGGACGACGGCCUUCGGGUUGUAAACCUCUUUCAGCAGGGACGAAGCGAAAGUGACUGUACCUGCAGAAGAAGCACCGGCUAACUACGUG